CACCUGCAGCUUAUACUUCAGCUUGCAAUGUUGGCCAUAGCUGAGCGUUACAUACUUGAAGGCGCUUCCAGUCUGGAUCCUCCAGAUGCUGGAUCCAGUUGUGCUCUGGAGAGUACCUUCUACCUAGCAGCCUGUUCUGUUUUGACGCAAUUAAGGCCCCCAUGGUUUCCCUUUCAUCGCAUGUAGGUGUGGAAGAACCUCCCUCAAAUGGCUUUUCUGUCCAUCUGAGCGCGUAACAUCGUGUGUGUGACUUUAGAGGGAUUUCAUCCUGUGAACGUCUUUCCUGUGAACAGUACCAUGGAAACUUUGAACAAGCUGUACAACAAGCCCUUGCAGACUGUUCUGGAGGUGGGGUGGUAGGCCUUCUGGAGGUAGACUAUCCUCUGAUUGAAAAAGAGCUGAGAGCUGUUGAGGGGGAGGUGAAAGAAGCAGAAGAAUGUACACGUGGCAGGUGGCCACCUGCUAGGACUAUAUCAAACAAGUGAAAGUGUCAAUGUGUAAUGCACAGCAAAGAGUUCAACAAUCAAAGGAUGAUGUUAGAAUGGUCCAUCAGAUUGUGAAUGGUUGGAGGGAACAUGCCUUCUAUUUCAGGAAAAAUAAAGAAGAAGCUUUAUUAAACUUGGAUGACAAAGAAAAAAGAAUUGCUAAAAGAUACAAAAUGCUACAAGAAGAUAGCUACCAGAUCCAUCAUCUUCUAGAGUCUGACUGACUUAGAAGAGUUUAUGAAAAUGGCGGAUGCUGGACUUCAAAGAGACGUGAAGAGGCGAGAUUAUUGUGGGCUGGUAGAAAUCAUGGGUUAUCUCUUGGCUGUGAAAUAGAGGCAGACAGCUACUGAUGAAUUUUUGAACCUCUGAAAGAGAUAGUUAUGCUGCUGAAAAGCUAUGGACACAAGAUACCAGACCAAGCUUAUGUCUAUUCAGAGGCAAAUCAAGAGGUUGAGAUGCUGGAGAAGAAAUGUUACUACGGGAAAAAGAAAUGUUACUGGUGCAGGAAUCCACAAGGCUCUCUGAAGAAAUUGUUCCAGACUACAAGCAAAUGGAACAAUGUCAAAAAGAAAGGGAGUUGCUCAAGAAAGUGUGGGAUAUCAGUGUUUACACUAAUGCAAGAUGUUUUUAAAGAAAUUAUAAAGUUAGAGUAUGUUUUGAAAGUUACACUCUUAAUUUGGUCUGUGAAGUGUUAC
rnacentral:lncRNA from 1 species